rnacentral:rRNA from 1 species
UACGAAGGGGGCUAGCGUUGCUCGGAAUCACUGGGCGUAAAGGGCGCGUAGGCGGCCAAGUAAGUUGGGGGUGAAAGCCCGUGGCUCAACCACGGAAUUGCCUUCGAUACUGCUUGGCUUGAGACCGGAAGAGGUGAGUGGAACUGCGAGUGUAGAGGUGAAAUUCGUAGAUAUUCGCAAGAACACCAGUGGCGAAGGCGGCUCACUGGUCCGAUACUGACGCUGGAGGU